CGAACGCUGGCGGGUGCUUACAAUGCUGAAGAACGAGGUCCAUCCGAUCCUCGGAUGUAGUGAAGACCUAGUGGCGAACGGGUGCGUAACACGUGAGAAACCUGCCCCGGUCUCUGGGAUAACAGUUGGAAACGACUGCUAAUACCGGAUGCCGUCGGACCGUCGCAUGGCGGACCGACGAAAGGGUUACCGGAUCGGGAGGGUCUCGCGGCCUAUCAGCUUGUUGGUGAGGUAACGGCUCACCAAGGCAUCGACGGGUAGCUGGUCUGAGAGGAUGAUCAGCCACACUGGGACUGAGACACGGCCCAGACUCCUACGGGAGGCAGCAGUGGGGAAUAUUGCACAAUGGGCGAAAGCCUGAUGCAGCAACGCCGCGUGCGGGAUGAAGGCCCUAGGGUUGUAAACCGCUUUCAGCAGGGAAGAAAAUGACGGUACCUGUAGAAGAAGGUGCGGACAACUACGUGCCAGCAGCCGCGGUGACACGUAGGCACCAAGCGUUGUCCGGAUUUAUUGGGCGUAAAGAGCUCGUAAGCGGUUCAGUAAGUCGGGUGUGAAAACUCUGGGCUCAACCCAGAGACGCCACCCGAUACUGCUGUGACUAGAGUGCGGUACGGGAGCGGGGAAUCCUAG
rnacentral:rRNA from 1 species